rnacentral:rRNA from 1 species
UGGGGGAUAUUGCACAAUGGGCGAAAGCCUGCUGCAGCGACGCCGCGUGGGGGAUGAAGGCCUUCGGGUUGUAAACUUCUUUUGCUCUGAACAAGGCAUGCCUUUGGGGUGUGUUGAGUGUAGGGGUUGACUAGCGCCGGCUAACUACGUGCCAGCAGCCGCGGUAAUACGUAGGGCGCGAGCGUUGUCCGGAAUUAUUGGGCGUAAAGGGCUUGUAGGUGGCUGGUUGCGUCUGUCGUGAAAGCUCAUGGCUUAACUGUGGGUUUGCGGUGGGUACGGGCUGGCUUGAGUGCAGUAGGGGAGGCUGGAAUUCCUGGUGUAGCGGUGGAAUGCGCAGAUAUCAGGAGGAAUACCGGUGGCGAAGGCGGGUCUCUGGGCUGUUACUGACGCUGAGGAGCGAAAGCGUGGGGAGCGAACAGG